AGUGCAGGCGGUUUUUUAAGUCUGAUGUGAAAGCCUUCGGCUUAACCGAAGAAAUGCAUUGGAAACUGGGAAACUUGAGUGCAGAAGAGGAGAGUGGAACUCCAUGUGUAGCGGUGAAAUGCGUAGAUAUAUGGAAGAACACCAGUGGCGAAGGCGGCUCUCUGGUCUGUAACUGACGCUGAGGCUGAAAGCGUGGGUAGCAAACA
rnacentral:rRNA from 1 species